AGGCGGCUAGGGUCUCCAACGUCGCAGCAAGAAGGAAACGGGGCAUAGAGUGAUAUCGCAGAGCUUACAAGGGCAACUUGCCUCACCCCCAUGUGACAAAUCCCGCAAGAAUCAGGAUCAUGCGGAUUUGGUUACCGUGAUGGAUUCCGGCUUGAGCACGACACAAGGAAGAAGACGGAAGGGGAGGGGGAACGCUGAUAGGUGGGGACAGUGCGGGAGAGAGAGAGGAGAGGGAGGGAGCGCUCUGAGCCGGGUGCGGGCCACCUUGGGCCAGAAGCAGGCCGUGCAAGGUGGGAGGUGGAGUGGGCCUUCGGGCCAGAAAGCAGAGGGGGAAAGGUUUUUCUCUUUUUUUUCUUUUCUUUUGUUUGUUAGCUUUUCUUUUAUUUCCAAAACCCAUUUCAUGACAAUUUGAAAACCGUUUUCAAAUCGGUUUGAAAUGAUUUUGAACUUGGAUAAAAUUCACACAAUACAAUGAAAAUAAAUGCUCCAAAAUGAAUGCGCAAACAAGUUGCUAAAUCCUAUGAUAAUUUUUAUUCAAAUGAAAAAAUAUUAUUUCUCUAUGUUUCAUGAGCACAAAAAUACAAAAUUAAAUCAUUUUAACUCGAUUUUCU
rnacentral:lncRNA from 1 species